rnacentral:rRNA from 1 species
AUUGAACGCUGGCGGUAUGCCUAACACAUGCAAGUCGAACGGCAGCACAGUAAGAGCUUGCUCUUACGGGUGGCGAGUGGCGGACGGGUGAGGAAUACAUCGGCAUCUACUUUUUCUUGGGGGAUAACGUAGGGAAACUUACGCUAAUACCGCAUACGACCUACGGGGGAAAGCAGGGGAUCUUCGGACCUUGCGCGAUUCAAUGAGCCGAUGUCGGAUUAGCUAGUUGGCGGGGUAAAGGCCCACCAAGGCGACGAUCCGUAGCUGGUCUGAGAGGAUGACCAGCCACACUGGAACUGAGACACGGUCCAGACUCCUACGGGAGGCAGCAGUGGGGAAUAUUGGACAAUGGGCGCAAGCCUGAUCCAGCCAUGCCGCGUGCGUGAAGAAGGCCUUCGGGUUGUAAAGCCCUUUUGUUGGGAAAGAAAAGCAGUAGGUUAAUACCCCGCUGUUAUGACGGUACCGAAAGAAUAAGCACCGGCUAACUUCGUG